rnacentral:tRNA from 1 species
AGGGGUAUAGCUCAGUUGGUAGAGCGGCGGUCUCCAAAACCGCAGGUCGCGGGUUCGAAGCCUGCUGCCCCUG